rnacentral:lncRNA from 1 species
CGAAAGUAGAUUGUUAAUCUAGGAAUUAUUACAACAUUUUACCCUUUUACAUUGAAUUUUUAAGAUAUGAAUAUUGAUGUGAUUAUUUAGUUGCCUUCAACUGGUCAGUGGUCAAAAGGGAGUAUUUCUGUGUGUCUUGAAGCAUUGAAUGCCCCAAAACAACAAGUAUGAUAAGAAGACCAGAGAAUACAGCUUCCCAAAAUGUUGAAAGAUUAAGCUGUUUUUCUAUGGACUUGUAUACUAUCUAGGUUGAAAUUAGCCAUGGACAAUGAAUUUGGAGGUGCAUGCUGGAGCAUCAGAAAUUACAUACUUGGAAUAAAUAAUUGCACAAUACACAUUUACUGAGAAGUGGCUAAUGUUUAUGUUAAAGUGCAAUAUUCAUGUUUGUUACAUUACUUGGCGGUAAUAGUUACAGUGUUGAAAGAGACUACCAGUGUUACAUUUCAAUCAAAGUUACAGUGUGGAUGCUAAUUCUAAAUUCUUGAUAAUCAAGUGUUUUUAAUAACUUAUGAAAAUAUUUAUCAAACUGUUUAAUUUAUCACAUUCCUACAUCAUUAUUUUAUACAAAAUGCUUGUAGUUAUAUAUUAUAUGUCAGGUUAAAAAUUUUAUAAAUUUUGUUUCUGUGUAAAUAUCUUGCUUUUUGAAAAAUGAAAAUGAUACAUUCAGUGGCCAUCAUCUGUCAAAAAGUUAUUAUAAAUGCAACAAAACUGAUGAAAAGUUAUGCAGUUACUUUUCACAAGUUCAUAAAAUAGGAGAAUAUACAUAACAUUGUAUAGUUUUCCUACUUUGUAUCUGGGGCCAUCAUAAAUCAAUUGCUAGAUUAAAUUUUCUUCACAAGGGGAAGGAAGUUUCUUUUAUUUAUUUUUAGCUCCCCUGUCACAAAGUGACAAGGUGAGCUUUUGUGAUCGCGCAGCGUCCGUCCUCCGUCCGUCCGUGCGUGCGUCCGUGCGUAAACU